UCAUGAUUAAGUCCUAGUCACAGAAGAAUAGGAUAUGACUUGUUAGCAUUCACUACUGAGUUCUGCUUUGAAAAGUCUCAAAAAAAAAGACAAACCAGGCUUGGACUUUUUUUAUUUCUCUUUAGCCUGUCUCACAGAGGCUUGGUCUAUGAAUGAAAAGUUUCUUAGUUAUCUUUCCAGUAUCCUUCAUCUACUCCUCUUGGACCCUUCAGAAGACGGUAUAGGUGGCUACAGUAAAAGGACAUGACAAAUUCUCAAUGGGGAACUUUUGGAAUUCUCAUUUCUGUCUAAGUAGCAUCACCAGUGCUGAGACGAGGGACAAAAGCACCAUGGAUCCCAUCAGAUUUGACUAUUCCUGUCAGGUUUGCCAGUCUUCCACAGUGUAGAUACAGACAAAUAGGAAAAAAAAUACCAGCCUACCCAGUCUGGCUAAUACUAUACUUGUGGUAGAGCAGUACAACAAAAAUUACAGGAAACCCACAAAGAAUGCAGAUUUUAUAUGGUGAAGACUUCACAGUUUUACAUUAUUUAACUAAGGACAAGCUGGGAGAAAUAGCACAGACAAACAGAGCAGAAGGCUCUCAGCUGUCUCCUUGUCACAGCUGAGGUCACAAGCUCAGGAGAAGUGGCAGGAGCAGCAGGUGCUCCUGAAAUCCUGCUGGCACAGGGCCACUGUCACAUGUUUGCUGGAUCAUGCCACAUGAAUCAAUAAAACUGCUCUCCCUGCUCGUAAGAGACACAACGAAAUAAACCUCUACCAGUCACAAAUGGUUUCUUCAGAGACUUGGAGGACUUGACCUAAGACACAGAGGAGAUAACUGUACUAUUCUCAGUGAUUCCAUGGGCUUGGAAUCAGCUUCAUUAACUGUGGGAAUGAAGAGCACGGAAGAAAUGUCACCCAAUGGGCUGCCUGGGAAACUGCUCCCCCAGGCACUGUGAUUGUCACUGACCUUCACAGGGACAAAAAACAAAACCAGUUUUCAUACAUCUGUUUUCAGUUGAUCUGUUUUCAGUUAAUUUACUUCUCCUUAGGGCAAAUGUCUUGCGAAAUAAAUAAUGGCAAAACAUGUGGGAGACACACGCGUGAGAAAGGGGCUUCAACAAGAAUCACAUACAUGAAAAAUACCACAUCUAAAUUGUUGGAAACAGAAACCUGCUAAGACGAUGGGCUUCAUGCAAAUUUCAGAUGAUCUGGAAAAAGCCAGGACCUAAAUAAGAGGGACACAGAGUCUGCUGCCUGGGAUACAGUUUCUUGCGAUGACAUAUCAGGGGCAGGUUACUUCUACCUUUGCCAGGUAGAUCUAUGUACAAAUUUAAGUUUGUAGUUCAUUGGAA